rnacentral:rRNA from 1 species
UGGCGAACGGGUGAGUAACACGUGGGCAACCUGCCCAAAAGAGGGGGAUAACACUUGGAAACAGGUGCUAAUACCGCAUAACCAUAGUUACCGCAUGGUAGCUAUGUAAAAGGUGGCUAUGCUACCGCUUUUGGAUGGGCCCGCGGCGCAUUAGCUAGUUGGUGGGGAAAAGGCUUACCAAGGCAAUGAUGCGUAGCCGAACUGAGAGGUUGAUCGGCCACAUUGGGACUGAGACACGGCCCAAACUCCUACGGGAGGCAGCAG